UACGUUCAUGCCUAAGGCAAUUUCCAGAAAGAACACAUUGAGAAGAAGCCAAAUGGAAUGCUUAAUCAGAUUUUCUGCCCUUAAAAUAUAUAUUAUCAGCAUGCCAAUAUUACAUGUACAGUUCAACGGUAUAGAGACCUCCGCAUGUAUAGGAAGAACACGUGCCUUCUUAAAUUUCAGCCUUUUGUCAAUUAUCCUUUUGACCUAUGUCAGAAGAUAUUUGUUUAAGAAUAAUUAACAAUGCAUAUGUAUUGCAUGUAACACCAAAAUUUAAGGGGAGAAGAAAAUCAACAAAGCUGCCUACAAAAAAGUAACAACAAAAAUCAUCUGUUUGGGGAACGAGAAAAUACAAUUCAUCAUUUGGAUGGCUUUCCAUGCUAUCUUCAUUCUACAGUCUGAAUGUCCUCUAAAAUUAAUGUGUUGAAAACUUAAUCUUCAAUGCAACGGUGUUGAGAGUUGCCACCUUUUCGGAGAUGUUUAGGUCAUGAAGGCUCUCCCUCAUGAAUGGACUAAUUCUACUAUAAAAAGAGCUUAUAGGAGUGGGUUCACUUUCUUUUGCACUUCUGCCAUGUCAGUGUACAGUGUCUAUUCCUUUUUCUGCCCUUCUGCCUUUUGCUACGUAAGAACUCAGAAACCAAGCCCUUACCAAAUGCCAGCACCUUGAUCUUGAACUUCCCAGACUCCAGAUCUGUGAAAACAAAAAUUUUCUUUUUAAAAAAAAUCCAUUCUGUAAUAUUCUGUUACAGCAGCACAAAGCAGACUAAGACACACAUAAUCUGGAUAUUUAGAUAACUGGUUAGAUAGAAUGCAUUUUCAAGUGGAUAUUAUGUAAAUAUGGACCAAGGCUAAAAGAAAAUCCAGGUGUGUUCCUCAGUGUGAAUGAAGGAUAAUAGAUUACUAAUGAGUUCUCAAUUAAAUUGCAUGUUGUGGUUAAGUUCAUCUUGAUAAUAUUCAAAAUUUUCUCAAGAGAUAAAACUAGUACUCUAGAUGUUAUUAAAUACUAUAAUGUGGAAAAAGACCAGUAACAUCAGGACUUUACUAUAUGACAGAAUACGACCUCAGUUUAACUGACGGGUACGCAUUUAGUUAGCCAGACUUCUAUAAAAAUGUCUUUCUGUAAAAGUUAUUUACAGCAAAAUUACUAACAGAUGAUAGUGAAUAUUCAGAAUAGCAUAAUGUAUCAGAAAAACACCUUGCUGAAAACAUUUUUCUAUGCUUGUGAUUCUGUCUGCAUAUAAAACAAAUAAAAACAAUCAUUUCUAAAAAUUCUUCAGAAACCUCUAAAACUUGGCUGGGGAUGGUGGCACAUGUCUGUAAUCCCAGCACUUUGGGAAGGCAAGGUGGAUAGAUCACAUGAGGCCAGGAGUUCGAGACCAGCCUGGCCAACAUCGCAAAACCAAUCUCUACUAAAAACGUAAAAAUUAGCUAGCCAUGUUGGCAGGCACCUGUAAUUCCAGCUACUUGGGAGGCUGAGGCAAGAGAAUCACUUGAACCCAGGGGAUGGAGAUUGCAGUGAGCUGAGAUUUUGCCACUGCACUCCAGCCUGGAUGACAGAGAGAGACGAUGUCUCAAAAAAAAUCGUUUAAAACUUGAUUUCUUAAUUAUUGUUUUAAUAAUAAAAUUAAAUAUUAAAGUAAAUAAAAAUUAGAUAGUUAAUAUUCUGAUUCAAAGACAAAUAUUUUUGGGGUUUCCACAUAUACUGACAGUGGACACACUUCCACAUUAUAUUUUCAAGCAAUAUUUUUUGUACACUGUUGACACCUCCAAAAUCAUACAAUUUUUAAAAUGACUUUUUAAAAUUUAUACAACCUUUUUAGAAAAAAAAUUGCCAAAAUACACAGAAAGAACAACAUAAGAAUUUGUAAUUGUCAGUCUUCUAGCUCUCCUAUUAGGAAUUCAUCAUGGAGAAAUAAUUGAACAGAAACUACACACACAGAAACAUACAUGUACAAAGUCACAUAAUAAGAUAACCUCUAAUAGUUCAAAAUAUAAAGAGAAAUAUAGAUAGUAGAUAGCAGAUGCUAUGGUCUGAGUAUGUCCAUCAAAUUCUUAUGUUGAAACUUAAUUACCAAUGUGAUAAUACUAAGAGUUAGAAACUAUAAGAGAUAAUCAAGUAGAGGGCUCCACCCUCAUAAAUGGAGUUAAGGGCCUAUAAAACAGGCUUCACAUAGUGUUUGCCCUUUUUGCCCUUCCAUCUUCCACCAUGUGAGGACACACCAUUCAUAGUGCCAUCUUGGAAACAGAGAUUAGGCCCUCACCAGUCACUGAACCUGCUGGUUCUUUGAUCUUGGACUUCCAAGCUUCCAUCACUGUGAGCAAUCAAUGUAUGUUCUUUAUUAAUUACUCAGACUGAAAUAUUGUGUUAUAGCAAUAGGAAUGGACUGAAAAAGCAGAUCAAUAAGAAACUAUACAGAUUUUAAGAGGAAAUAACUUAGUAAAUUAUGGGAUAUCAACCAAGAAUAAGAUUGGCAUUCAAAUUAUGAAGUCUCUCAAAAGAAGGAAAAAUGUUUACAAUAUGAUUUUAAAAGUAGAAAAGCCAUGUGCAUAAAGAAUACAACUAUGUAGAAUAUAUUCGCAUGUAAAUAGCUAACAGAAG
rnacentral:lncRNA from 10 species